rnacentral:tRNA from 1 species
AAAAAAUUAGUUAAUCUAUAACAUUAGUUUGUCAAGCUAAAAUAAUCAUCAAUUUAUUGAUAUUUUUUA